AUGAAUUGCUUAAUGAUGGGCACACAGUGCCUAUUAUGUUAUUCCGCCCUACGCUCUCUCCGCGGGACUGCAGAGCAGAUCAAAGCAUCAGCCCAUUUUACAGCUGGGACAAGUGAGGCUGCGCCAAGAGACAGUGAGAGAGCGGCGGAGACUGAAGUUUCACAGCCAGCAGCAGGUGUGGGGAGCCUGGUCUUCCCUUCUGUGGCCCUUGUGCAGCCCAGGCAGCAGAUCUUCCACGGGCCGGAGAGCCUGGACCGGCGGACGAGAGAAUUCCAACCAAGCUUGAAAAUAACACUCUCAGGACGCCUGGGUGGUUCUGUCGGUUAAGCGUCUGCCUUCAGUCAGGUUAUGAUCCCAGGGUCCUGGGAUCGAGUCCCGCUUCUGGCUCCCUGCUCAGCGGUGAGUCUGCUUCUCCCUCGUCCUCUGCCCCUUCCCCCGUGGGUACGCGCACUCACUCUCUCUCUCUCUGACAAAUAAAUAAAUAAAAUCUUUAACAAAAUUUUAAAAAAUUAAGUAAAAAGAAAAUAACAUUCUUGUAUGAAUGUGAAAUGCAGGUUGCUGUGUGAUGUGGCCUUUCCCCAAUGCCGCUUGCCCUGGAAUACGGAGGACCUCAGGUGCUGUUCCACGCCUGCAGAGGUUGAGGGCUCUCCCGCCACGUCGGGCAGCCUCCAGCGGGAGGGCAGAGUCCCAGGGCAGGGCCCCUCGUGGUCACUGGGCCUCACCCUUCUCUGGCCCCAGGAAGACACGAGAUCAGAUGUGGGACCAGCAACUCAAAACAUCUGAUGUCCUGUGAUAAUACCGGGAAAAACCGCCCGAGAUAAAUAUGCCAUUACUUAAAACAUGAAUCCUGCAGCAACAAGGAGGGUUUCUCAUAACCUCACACCCCCUUGGAGUUUAUGAUGAGAGUUUAUGGCUCUGGGAACAAUUCACUGCCAGAAGAGGAAAGUGAACAGGUUUAUGGUUUGUUUACACCAACCGAUACCACUUACCUGCUCUCGUUAACUUUCUCUUCAAGCAGGUUUUACUUGAAAUGAAUGAAACCUAGGGGGUCAUAAUAUAUUCUUCUUAUUAAACAAUAAAAUCAUCGCGUAUCUUUAAAAUCAAAUUCAUUGAAAGCUUUUUGGCUUUAUGGAGGUCUUUCUGUUUUUAUUUUGGGUUUUUUCGUGGGUGUGUUUUGUUUUGUUUUUGGUACUUUUUUUCCUCUCUGGGUGUCAAGAGUUUUCGGAAACAAAGUACAGCGCAAAGCCGGGUCCCGCUCAGGGGGUCUGGGGAGAGGCUGGUAGGACAGGGCAGAGCCUGGCGCGGAGGCCUGGGAACUGGGGGAGAUCCCCACUGGCUGUGUGGGCUUGCUUGUGCUAUUCGAAGUCUCCGAGUCUCAGCUUCUUUGGGGCCGAGCUUCUCUCCUGCCCCCUCUUCAAGCACCAUUGUGAGUUUGAAGAUGAACGUCUUUGAACACGUGAAAGUCUCAAGCGGCUCCACGAGCACAGAGCUUCCCCAAAUCAGGUGAAGAAGGAAAUGGCUACCUGCAUGGCCUUGGGGGUCAGACAAAGCUGGAGAUUGUAAGGCUUGGGGCAUGCAGGCUCCCCUCCUCUGUCACCACUUUUCUCCUGCAGGAAAUGCAAGCAAGGAUGGUUUCUAUCCACAGUAGUUGAGAUGCAUUCAGCUACCAGUCCCGGAAACUUGAUUCCAACUUGCUUAAACUCCAGGGAGGUUUUAUCAGCCAGCAGGCAAGUCCUGAGAAAGGGCCCAGCUCCAGGGUCACUUUGAUUCGGUCACUUAAAGAUGUCACGGGACAGCGGGGCGGCGCCUGGGGGGAUCAGUUGGUUAAGCAUCUGCCUUCAUGGCUCCGGUCAUGAUUCCAGGGUCCUUGCUCAGCGGUGAGUCGGCUUCUCCCUCUGCCCCUCCCCCCGAUCAUGCUUGCACAUGUGUAACCUCUCUCUCUCUCUCUGAAAUAAAUAAAUAUAUCUUAAAAAAAAAAAAAAAGUCACCGGGGGCUUGUCUUCUUUCCCACUCUCUGCUCUGCUGCCUGUGAUGUGGACCUGUCCUCAAACUGGGGCCGCGAGCGAACGGUCAAGAAAGAAUUCUUGAGACGUUUUUGGCGCAAAAAGGCGUUUCUAUUACAGCUUGGGGACAGGACCUGUGGGCAGAAAGAGCAGCGUGAUGGCUGCAUGAAGCUGGUGGUUAUGAGCUCAUUGCUCGAGGAGGAGGGGAGAAGCAGGGAGAAUUGAUUAUAGAUGUCUCCUUCAAAUUUCUACUCGUAAAACUACUUUCACAAGAUUCCCCUGGUGCUUAUCAUUCAGUUUGAUAUUAACUAUCGGUGUGAUGUACGGACCAUCAGGAGGUCCUUUAAGAAUGUACCAGCCAGGGGCGCCUGGGUGGCGCAGCGGUUAAGCGUCUGGCUUUGGCUCAGGGCGUGAUCCCGGUGUUCCCGGAUCGAGCUCCACAUCAGGCUCCUCCACUAGGAGCCUGCUUCUUCCUCUCCCACUCCCCCUGCUUGUGUUCCCUCUCUCGCUGGUUGUCUCUCUCUAAUAAAUAAAUAAAUAAAUCUUAAAAAAAAAAAAAAAAAGAAUGUACCAGCCAGCACGUAUUUGAUCCUUAUCGGGACUCUGCAGGCUCUAGGUCAGCCUUCCCGGCUAAAGGUGAACAUUUUUCUGCUUCUAUCUCUCAUCAUCCCUCAUGGUGGCAGAAUGACGAGCCACGAUUCCAAGCAUCACAUCCUGUAUUCCGCCAUCCGGGAAGGGUGCCAGGACAAGCUUAUGGGUCGGAAUCCCAUUGAAAACACUUCUUUAUCGCACUGGCGUGACUGGGGCUCACCCAAAGACAGAGGCCACGGCAUAUGAGUUUGCCUUAGGUCAGGUGUUACGCCCACUGUUUAAAGUCCAGGGGUGGAAUUGUCCUCCUCAGUCCCACACACUCCCGUGCACCUGAGAUGCAAGGAGGAGGUGUGGAAACCUGGGGAAACCCGUGGUGAGGCGGGUGUCUGGUGUCUAAAAGCCCCCACAGCGUCCUCUACGCAGGCUCGCCAGAUUUAGCAAAUAAAAAUAUAAGAUGCACAGUUC
ensembl:lncRNA